rnacentral:rRNA from 1 species
UACGAAGGGGGCUAGCGUUGCUCGGAAUCACUGGGCGUAAAGGGUGCGUAGGCGGGUCUUUAAGUCAGGGGUGAAAUCCUGGAGCUCAACUCCAGAACUGCCUUUGAUACUGAGGAUCUUGAGUUCGGGAGAGGUGAGUGGAACUGCGAGUGUAGAGGUGAAAUUCGUAGAUAUUCGCAAGAACACCAGUGGCGAAGGCGACUUACUGGACACAUAUUGACGCUGAGGUGCGAAAGCGUGGGGAGCAAAUAGG